CCUACGGGUGGCAGCAGUGGGGAAUAUUGGACAAUGGGGGGAACCCUGAUCCAGCCAUGCCGCGUGUGUGAAGAAGGCCCUCGGGUUGUAAAGCACUUUCAGUGAGGAAGAACGCCUGGUGGUUAAUACCCAUCAGGAAAGACAUCACUCACAGAAGAAGCACCGGCUAACUCCGUGCCAGCAGCCGCGGUAAUACGGAGGGUGCGAGCGUUAAUCGGAAUUACUGGGCGUAAAGCGCGCGUAGGUGGCUUGAUAAGCCGGUUGUGAAAGCCCCGGGCUCAACCUGGGAACGGCAUCCGGAACUGUCAAGCUAGAGUGCAGGAGAGGAAGGUAGAAUUCCCGGUGUAGCGGUGAAAUGCGUAGAGAUCGGAGGAAUACCAGUGGCGAAGGCGGCCUUCUGGACUGACACUGACACUGAGGUGCGAAAGCGUGGGUAGCAAACAGGAUUAGAUACCCGAGUAGUC
rnacentral:rRNA from 1 species